AGGUUUUGCAGUGUGCUUGCAAGGAGCCCCUUAUUCAAGCAGACCAAGAAAACGUGAGACUUUCCACACGUGUAUUCACUUCACAACCAACAUGUCAAUGCAUGGAUGGUUUUAUUUCUGGUGACCAGCAAAAUAGACGAAAGGAAGAACGGUGAUUAUCAGAAGGCAAGCCAGUGAUUGUUAAAAGCCAGCUGUGUUUGUGUGUCCACCACCGUGCUGAAAGAUCGUUCUGGAGGCUGGACGUCCCAGAUCACGGGCCCAGUACAUUCAGUACUGGGUGAAGACCCGCUUCCUGGUUCAAGGACGUCUGUCUUCUCACUGCGCCCUCACGGAGGAAGACAUAAAUAAAUAUUGACGUGAAAUGACCAGUCUAAGAGGCGUGAUCUCUGUUGGCCAUUUGGAUGAGAAGUGCAUUUGCUUCCUGACACUGUGGAGAAGCCACAAGAAGUGAAGGAGUCCUGAGUUCUCUCCUCCAGGAGCCGUCAGGGCGUCCGCACGCUCUCAGGAAACCACACCACGAAGAAACACCGGUGGGGAAAAUAUAUAAUCCUUUUCUCCAGAAGCACUGUGUCUUUAUCCACCUUCGGUAGCUGUGAAAACCAUUUCUUCGGUUUGUUUUUUGACAGACAGAGAAGGGGAGGAGCAGAGAGAAUCCCAAGCAGGCCCUGCACUGUCAGCGUGGAGCCCGACGUGCGGCUCGAACUCACGAACCAUGAGAUCCAGACCUGACUGAAACCCAGAGCCGGACAGUCAGCCUACUGAGCCACCCAGCACCUAUCAUAGGUCAUGAAUACUUGCACAACAAUGGCUCCAGAAGAAGAAAAUGUGGGAAGACGCCUCAGCAGUAUGGCACGAGUACCCCCGCCCCCCAGUGGCCGCUGACGACUAGCCGCGGACAUGAGCGACAUGCACACAAGAAGCAAGUCGACACCUACGGAAGGCAGUAUCUGCGACUGUGAGAUGAUGCUGUUGGGCAAGCUGUUCUGUCUGCUCUCCGUCGUGACUUCAGCCCAGGUCACCUGAAAGCCAGUCAUGGGCUGAUAGAGAUUGGCCUUGGCCAUCUUCCAAGAAAAGUGGCCCGUGAUGUUAACAUCUUGGACAACAAACGAGGCAGAAAGGUUCUCGGGCUUGGCGAGCACCUUGGCAGGCACGUGACCUGGAGGGAGAGGACAUUAAGAGGCAGAGUUAGGCUGCGGGACAUGGGAGCUGUUUGCACAUAUCGCGGGCACUUCAGGCAGCCGCUCCCCAGGGGAGGCACACGCGGUCUGAGCUCGGUCCUCAUGCAGGGCUUCAGGCCAUCACCUCAUGACCUACGGGGACAGUCAGCCAGAGGUGGUCUCAGUGCGGCCACUCUGCUGGGUGGUUUGGGGACUCUUUUUAGGACCCAGCUCUGGGGACGGGAGGAGAGAGGUCUCCGCCACGUGGCAAGAUCUGGCCACUUCCUCAAGAGGAGAAGUGAGCGUCAUGACCGGGGUGGGUAGUGACACUGUGAGAAGUGAUCCCGUGUCAGAGCCGCGUUUCGCCACAUCCUGGGGUACUCGUUCUGCCUCAGGACAGGAGGACAGGUCCCGGUAAGGAGAGCAAACGGAUGAAGGUCUGGGGAGGGGUGUUGUGCAAAGUACAUAAAGGUAGGUCACGUGGCACAGCGGUGGGGUGAAAACGAAGUAAUUUCUAUGGAACACGCCUGAGUACAAGCACUGGAGAAACCUUGGCUUCGUUUCUAAAGGGGUGAUACUGCCAGCAGAGGAUGUCACUGUUAGAGGUGACAGCGGAGGACAUCGUGCUGUUAGGACAGAAUGUGGCCCACGGCCAUACGUUGCCUCCCAACCUGGGCCGUCAGAUUUAGAAAGCGGGGGACGUUCGCUUUCUCGGGUGUUGUGCAAUACAGUUUGGAAAUGUUUUCCAAGUGUGGCUGGCAUCACAAUGCACGUUCAGCUCAAGACGUACCCGCUUCGCCGGGACAGCUCAUGUGCCGGUGGCUUUUCCCCUUCAGGGCAGAGCACGGCGGAGUCGUGAAGAAAACAGUUUCUGCCUUCAAGCGGCCCUUGGGCCGAAUCGGCUGCACAGUCACCUUAUAUUUGCAGGAAAACAACAGAUCCUGAAGAAUGAUAUAAUUUUCCUAGAGCAAGAGAGAGAGGGAAUAUGCUAGCCAUACGUCUCAUUAGGGACCAAGAUGUGGCAGAUGAGUCCUGUUCUAACAAGGAUAGUUUCCUGUGCAUGCGUGCAGUGUGGCUUUUAUAAAAACUACGAAGGAGACACUGUGCAUGCUCUGGUUCCUCACGACUGUGGGCCGUCCCAUGGCGUGGGACACGGCCUCUGGAAGAGAACAGGACCGCGGCGUGGCAGGACCGAAGCAGCUUCAUGGGACCUUCCAGGCCGCGUGGCACGGUUGCCAGCCACACAGUGAACGCCACAAACUUUGGGAACCACUUAAGAAAACAUAAAAGGAACAACGUUGGCGAGCAUGAGUCGGGACAAGUCAAAUCCAGUAAAAAGCUGUAUUUCUGCAGACCCACUGACAUGUUUUAUCUUACUGCCUUAAAGUUAUGUGAUCAAGAUAGGAUUCUAAAAAUACCCCACUUGCUGCUUUAGAAAAUCGUCCAAAGAAAAAUGUUCUGCUGAAAUAGCGUAUAUCAACAGUUGAGACAUGUGGGGCCAUGCCUUUGGAAAUCUUAGACUGUCCUGCUAGAUCACAGACAAGUUACUGGCAUCGAUAUUCUGGACACCUCACCGCCCUCUGCACCGUUUUGCUGUUGGUCCCUUGAUGGCCCUCUGUAGCUCGUGCAUCAGCCCCAAAUAUUUGGAAUAAUACACUGGCUUGUACCGAAGGGUUCCUGCCUGCAAGGACGUAGCGUUCUGUUCGAGUGAAAAGUCAGAAACGGUCCUGGCACACCGUGUGCGACUCAGGGAACGUCUUUCCUUCCCCGGACGAGGAGGAACUAGCUAGCGACACGGCAGAGCAAGAUGGGACGUGCCACGGUCGGACGGAAGUUCACAGGCACCGUCCCACCCGCAGAUCGUGCUGCCAACUCAGGACUCAGAGAACAAUUCAAAGCUUCUGUCCAACUAAGUCGAGACACAUGGGGGGUCUCAGAAGCGUUUCCCCCCUGACCUGGGAGUUCCCCACGAACCGCGUCUGCAGCCUCUGCGUUUCAGGCCCUGCCGUGUGCCCCCACGGGACGGAGCCCUCAGCGGAUACUGCAGGACUGAACACAAGGACCGUUGUGUUUUCACUUCCACCUCGCGAUCACCCAACAGCUAAUCCGUGAGAAUGAGCUGUGUGCGUCGUACCCCGGGCACAGCUCUCAGCCCGCUGUUUCCACACAUCGAGGGAAGUGAAAUCGCGCUGAGAAUCGGGCGGUGUGACCGUCUCUUACCUGGGUG